GAUGAACGCUGGCGGCGUGCUUAACACAUGCAAGUCGAACGAUGAUGCCCAGCUUGCUGGGUGGAUUAGUGGCGAACGGGUGAGUAACACGUGAGUAACCUGCCCUUGACUCUGGGAUAAGCCUGGGAAACUGGGUCUAAUACCGGAUACGACCAUCUGGCGCAUGUCAUGUUGGUGGAAAGCUUUUGUGGUUUUGGAUGGACUCGCGGCCUAUCAGCUUGUUGGUGGGGUAAUGGCCUACCAAGGCGACGACGGGUAGCCGGCCUGAGAGGGUGACCGGCCACACUGGGACUGAGACACGGCCCAGACUGCUACGGGAGGCAGCAGUGGGGAAUAUUGCACAAUGGGCGCAAGCCUGAUGCAGCGACGCCGCGUGAGGGAUGACGGCCUUCGGGUUGUAACCCUCUUUCAGUAGGGAAGAAGCGACAGUGACGGUACCUGAAGAAGAAGCGACGGCUAACUACGUG
rnacentral:rRNA from 1 species